GUACAUUAUCAAAGUACCUUGUAGGAGGCAGUCACACACACAGAUGUUUCUGCUGCCUCGUGGCGGGACCUGCAUGCAUAUUCCCCACACAUGAUCACACCAUCUUCAAUGUAUAUUUCAUCACGCUGGUGUCAAAGGUAGCUUUAGGAACAAAACAGUCUGAAAACAAACUGAAAACAAAACCCCGUCCUGACUGAUCAGCCUCACAGAUGAAUGGAAAUGCGGAGGAUAAGGUUAUAAACUGGGUAUGGGGAGCCCUUUCCUUGCUGAGAGCCAUGGCUUUGCAGAUCUCUUUGAGAAGCAGCGUCUCAGCAUACAUCUCCAUUUCAUCCUGCAACUGGGAUUGAGGUGGCUGUGCUGUCUGAAAUAGUUGUGGCAUGUGUAUGAAAUGAUGCUUGAAUUUACAACUAGCCCCAUGCUGGAGGUUCCCAGUAAGUCACUGAGGAAUCAUGGUCCUAAAUGCACUGCAUUGUUUUGCCUUGAGAUCAGAUCUCAGCCUUCUUCCUUCGGCAAAAAUCAAUAUUCAAAUCUAUCUUGCUGUCAACCAUGACACUUGCUCAUGUGAACGCUGUUAUCCACAUAAACUUAAUAACAUGUAUACAGUAUUUCAACACGCACAUAAAAGGCUGAAGUUUAUUAUCAAAAAUGCUGCCCAAGAACUCUCUUUUCAGGCAACUACUGGAAAAUGGGUGGCUUCUGGCUCACAAAGCAUUAAAACAUAGGAGCUGCCACAGUCGCUCUCAGCAAGCAUAGGUAGGCUUAUGCUAAUCUCACAUACAUGGUAUUGAACCCUCAUGUCCAUUUGAUUUGCCUUGUGUCUCUCUGCCACAAAAAUCAGUAGUGGCUAUGGCAAACCUUUUGUACCAUGGAUGAAGGCUGUUACAUAGUUUACCUACACCUUAUCACUCCUACUAUUGGAGACGUUUCCUGCCACGAACCCCACACAAGAACAGAGGAACUGUUUUUGUUCUUCUGGUUGCAAGUGUAAACUUAAUCCAGGACAAAUUUCUGUGCAUGACAGGUUUCUUGUAAAAGAAGGAAAUCUGUUCAGUGUUUUUAAAAGAACUUGCAGAAACAAUCUUAUGCCAAAGAGUAGGCAUACUCUAGAAAGGUGAUAAGAAAGACUGACCCUGGAAAAAAAAUAUGUUACUACAUUGCCAUUCUUCUCAUCACUGUCUGAUAAAGCUCCCACUCAGUUCUUUGAAUUCUCCUAAAACACAUCUAACAAAAGAAAGUCACACCAUCGCUGUGAUUUCUCAUACUAAAACCAUGCUACAAGAAAACUUUCUCAAAAAAUCAGGUCACUGUAAAGCUCAUAAAAAAGAAAAACAUGUCACAAUCAAAUUUCAGCUUGAUUCCCUAAUGCAUAGCAAGAUAGGCAUUAUGCACUUGGGAAGGCCUUAAAUUAGCUCAGCUUACGUUUUGUUUACCCAAAAUCAGUUCAAUGAAACCACACAAUCGCAGCCAGUGAGCAGAUCAAAACAGAUUAUGUGCUACCAAUUACUUUCCACAAGGCCUAUAGGCAUCCAGAUUUGAGUGCUAUCUCAUCAGCUAUCUAUAUCUGGCUUCAGAACCAAAAAUCUGACUCUUCUGGGUAUCCACUUGUAACUGUAUUUCCAAUUACCCAGUUUUAGGAUUUAGAACUUUAUUUACAGCCUCCUGAGUCCCCUCUUUCACAAAUACAUCAUUCUGCUAAUACAACAUUAAAUUAUCUGAUAGGAGAAUUGACAAAUGGAGCAGAAAAGCUUUUAAUCACGUGUGUACAGGUAAUACCUUCAAUGGAAAAAUCCACAUGCUUAGAUAAAGGCAGGUCCUUUAAUCCAUUCCUACCUCAAGGCCUUAUGUUGGUGAAACCAUGGGAAGGAACUAUCCGUUAUUUGUAACGGGUAACAUAACUUUUUUAAGUAGCAUAAAUUGUAACCACCAACCUUUUCUUUUUUACUGCUGAAGUAAAGCAUCUUGUCUGAUAAAAGAUAGUGGAUUAGGUCUCUGCAUUGUGCUUAAUCGUGACAUUUAUCUUUCACAUUACAUGAAGUAGUGAACAGGAAAGUGCCUUUCUUUAACCAAAUGGUUUUCAUUCCUACGCUUUCUUACUUGGACUACAAAAGCACCUGCAUACCCCAAGAAAUACCAUACCUUUCAAAAUCAGGAUAAAAAAAGUAUUGGGUAGCAAAUUAGAUCUACAAACUGUUGUUCUCAAUUUAGCUUCAGUGAGCUAACUUCUCCAUCACAGGAAGAAAUUCUACCAUGUAAAUUUCCUUUUAAAGCAUACCGAACAAAAUCAAGGGAUCACUGCCUCAUUUGGAGACAGUGUGCGUAUUUCAAGGGUACUUUCUACUAUUUGCCAAAAUUACCAGCACUUUGAGUUUCCCUGAUAAAAGUGUUCUUCAUAAUAAUCCUUUCAGCAGGUUUAAGAAUCAUCUUGCAACUACAUCUAGUGCCAUCCAGAGGUAAUCAGCAAAAGUUUGAAGAGUAAAUCUACAUUAGUUCUAUCACGAACAGUAAGGUGUGAAUGCUGUUUUUAGAGCAGUUCUUAAGGAAUACGAGGCUUAAGUUGUACCCCAGCUGAAUAAAAAUAAAAGCUAAGCAGGGUUAAGACACAUUAUAGCUUACUGAUGUUGUGGUUCAUUUGGUGCAUUGCAUCCUGUGUUAUGCUUUCUAUUACUCUUUUGGCAAAGUGCUCCUGCAAAUUACACUCUGCCAUCUUAUGCUGUUCAUGCAGGAUACAACUGUAGUAAGAAGCACCAAAUAAACACAGAAACAAAACAAAGCUUUUCUCACCACAAAGGAACCUUGCACUCUGCCACAGCAGCCAACUUCUGUCUGACCAUCUGCUGUACAGAAAGUAAGCAAGCACUAAGGAAUUAAGCACGCUACACAGGCACAAACACUGAGUUGUGUAUUACGAUCAUUCACACUGUAGAGACAGUAAGUUGGGUAAGAAGGGUAUGAUUGAAACUGGUCAAGUAUCCAUGGACGGAAAGGAUCUACAGCUAGGAGGAACUGAUUUCAAGUCCUUUAAGUGAGUGCUGAGCACUCCCAAAUCCAGCCACAGUUGGAGAAAUGUGAUAUUUCAGAUUCUAAAGCCAGGUGGCCGGAAGAAGAGAUGACCCAAAUAAAUAAACAUUUCUAAAAAUUCAUCCUUUAGAAUAAUUGCUACAAAAAUCUGUUAGGAAAGCUGGAGCAAACACGAGGUAUUUAUUUCCUGAACACAGUUUCUGCAAUUGGACUUUGAUAUCACUCUUCUAUCCUUUAAAAAACCGACAUUUUCAGUAGUACACACAUCUACACACUUCAGUGAAACUGUGUGUCUGCCUGUAAUUCUCUGCUAUAAAUUGAUAGUUAUAAGCUCCAAGUGUGACUCUGAUUACUACAGAGAGACUCUCAGAAACCAGUUCUGCAAUCAGAUAGUCUCCCAAAAUACCCAUGAUCCCGUUUUAAAAUCCUGCUCGGUUUACAAAUCCACCCAGAUAUUCUUCAGAUUACCACCUUACCAACCACACUGUGAAAUCACAAGCUCAGAGAUGUCCCGUCCACCACUCUGUACAGCAGUGUGUGGUGCUCUGCCAUCACUGUAUACAGCUGUAGUGACUGUGUAGUCAGACUUCAGUAAGGGGCAACACGGUGCUUAGGAAACAUGAAACGCAGUAGAGUGAAGCUCAUUAUUUAGUUCUUCAAUUAUGUUUGUUUUCAGUGCUUACAGGACAAAAAGUUUGGUGUUGUCAGUAAACUAAGCAGUUAUUUCCUUCUGCUACACAACAGAAGAUCUAUACAUGCAUAGACCAUGAAAUUUAUGUGCAAGGUAAGUAAAAUCUGGCUUUGCCAACAGCUACAGCAAAACUGUCAAAGACUUCAGCUUGAUCAGGGUUUCACUCAUGCCCAUUAGAAGUCUGAGUCUUUGAAAAGAUGCAAGAAGCUUUUUCAGUCUUAUUCUCUAGCAAUGUAUUUAAAUGAUUUGUUGUAUUUUUUUAAUGCUUUGAGAACGUGUAUAACAUUUACUUGUGACAAAUUUCAAAAACUUACCUAGAUUGAUGAAAGUGUGAUAUUGAUAAAUAACAAAAAAAAAAACAAAAAAAAACAGAUUUUCUCUGUUUGUUAUUAAUUGUGACUGUCCAACCACAUGCAUAGAGGCUAAGUGCACAGCAGCAAUUCCUUGCCUCCAGCAAUGAAACAUACAGCAAAGGGAGAAAAAAAACACAAAACAAGGCAUUAAAAAACUCACCUUUGAACUGAGUUUCAGACCAAGUGUACUGAGUGUAAAGUUUCCUGGCAAUGAUCCCCGUACAGCAAACAAACAGACCUGUUUACUGAUUUGCAAGCACUCAUAUAGCAAAUUACAAUUCCUAGAAUACAUAAGAAAGCUGGAAUUUAGCUCUAAACAACAGUUCCCAGAAAGUGAAUUGCUAUAUUAAGGGCUUAUUUUUCUUUUCUUUUCUUUUCUUUUCGCUUCUUUUCUUUUCUCUUCUUUUCUUUUCUCUUCUUUUCUUUUCUUUUCUUUCCUUUUCUUUUCUUUUCUUUUCUUUUCUUUUCUUUUCUUUUCUUUUCUUUUCUUUUCGCUUCUUUUCUUUUCGCUUCUUUUCUUUUCUUUUCGCUUCUUUUCUUUUCUUUUCUUUUCCUUUCUUUUUUCUUUUCUUUUCUUUUCUUUUCUUUUCACUUCUUUUCUUUUCUUUUCUUUUCUUUUCUUUUCUUUUCUUUUCUUUUCUUUUCACUUCUUUUCUUUUCUUUUCGCUUCUUUUCUUCUCUUCUCUUCUCUUCUCUUCUCUUCUCUUCUCCUCUUCUCUUCUCUUCUCUUCUCUUCUCUUCUCUUCUCUUCUCUUCUCUUCUCUUCUCUUCUCUUCUCUUCUCUUCUCUUCUCUUCUCUUCUCUUCUCUUCUCUUCUCUUCUCUUCUCUUCUCUUCUCUUCUCUUUUUUUUUCUUAGCAAGUCCAGGCUAUCAGAUGAAACAACAAAUCCUGGUAUGCACGCCUUCUGCUGUUCUAGUGACACACAGUAAUCAUAAACUCUCAAGGUAACUUUGGAAGUGUAAGAAAUACUAGCAAUUGUGUCCGUCCACUCCUAG
ensembl:lncRNA